rnacentral:rRNA from 1 species
CCCUUCCGUAGGUGAACCUGCGGAAGGAUCAUUACUGAGCGCGAGGCCCCGCAGCGCGCACGCGCUGCGGCGGUUGACCCUCCACCCGUGUGAACUCUUAUCUGUUGCUUUGGCGGGCCGGGCUCGACCUGCCGGCUCCGGCUGGCGAGUGCCCGUCAGAGAAGCCCCAACUCGUGCUGUGAGUGUUGUCUGAGGAAAUGUGGAAUUAGUAAAACUUUCAACAACGGAUCUCUUGGCUCUGGCAUCGAUGAAGAACGCAGCGAAAUGCGAUAAGUAAUGUGAAUUGCAGAAUUUAGUGAAUCAUCGAAUCUUUGAACGCACAUUGCGCCCCCCGGCAUUCCGAGGGGCAUGCCUGUUCGAGCGUCAGAACACCCCUCAAGCCUAGCUUGGUCUUGGGGCUCGCCGGCUCGGCGGCCCCUAAACGCAGUGGCGGUGCUGGAGUGCUCUCCGCGUAGUCAUGUAUCUCGCGACAUAGUGGCGACGGCACCCGCCAGAACCCCAGUCUUUGGAUGACCUCGGAU